AUUCUGCCCAUGCGGGGAAGGAUGAGAAGCUUCGACCAAGGUUCGACUCGAGCGCCAGCGAGAGAGCGUUGCCGCAGG
rnacentral:sRNA from 1 species